rnacentral:rRNA from 2 species
AGAGUUUGAUCAUGGCUCAGAUUGAACGCUGGCGGCAGGCCUAACACAUGCAAGUCGAGCGGUAGCACAGAGAGCUUGCUCUCGGGUGACGAGCGGCGGACGGGUGAGUAAUGUCUGGGAAACUGCCUGAUGGAGGGGGAUAACUACUGGAAACGGUAGCUAAUACCGCAUAACGUCGCAAGACCAAAGUGGGGGACCUUCGGGCCUCAUGCCAUCAGAUGUGCCCAGAUGGGAUUAGCUAGUAGGUGGGGUAACGGCUCACCUAGGCGACGAUCCCUAGCUGGUCUGAGAGGAUGACCAGCCACACUGGAACUGAGACACGGUCCAGACUCCUACGGGAGGCAGCAGUGGGGAAUAUUGCACAAUGGGCGCAAGCCUGAUGCAGCCAUGCCGCGUGUAUGAAGAAGGCCUUCGGGUUGUAAAGUACUUUCAGCGGGGAGGAAGGCGAUAAGGUUAAUAACCUUGUCGAUUGACGUUACCCGCAGAAGAAGCACCGGCUAACUCCGUGCCAGCAGCCGCGGUAAUACGGAGGGUGCAAGCGUUAAUCGGAAUUACUGGGCGUAAAGCGCACGCAGGCGGUCUGUCAAGUCGGAUGUGAAAUCCCCGGGCUCAACCUGGGAACUGCAUUCGAAACUGGCAGGCUAGAGUCUUGUAGAGGGGGGUAGAAUUCCAGGUGUAGCGGUGAAAUGCGUAGAGAUCUGGAGGAAUACCGGUGGCGAAGGCGGCCCCCUGGACAAAGACUGACGCUCAGGUGCGAAAGCGUGGGGAGCAAACAGGAUUAGAUACCCUGGUAGUCCACGCCGUAAACGAUGUCGAUUUGGAGGUUGUGCCCUUGAGGCGUGGCUUCCGGAGCUAACGCGUUAAAUCGACCGCCUGGGGAGUACGGCCGCAAGGUUAAAACUCAAAUGAAUUGACGGGGGCCCGCACAAGCGGUGGAGCAUGUGGUUUAAUUCGAUGCAACGCGAAGAACCUUACCUGGUCUUGACAUCCACAGAACUUAGCAGAGAUGCUUUGGUGCCUUCGGGAACUGUGAGACAGGUGCUGCAUGGCUGUCGUCAGCUCGUGUUGUGAAAUGUUGGGUUAAGUCCCGCAACGAGCGCAACCCUUAUCCUUUGUUGCCAGCGGUUAGGCCGGGAACUCAAAGGAGACUGCCAGUGAUAAACUGGAGGAAGGUGGGGAUGACGUCAAGUCAUCAUGGCCCUUACGACCAGGGCUACACACGUGCUACAAUGGCAUAUACAAAGAGAAGCGACCUCGCGAGAGCAAGCGGACCUCAUAAAGUAUGUCGUAGUCCGGAUUGGAGUCUGCAACUCGACUCCAUGAAGUCGGAAUCGCUAGUAAUCGUAGAUCAGAAUGCUACGGUGAAUACGUUCCCGGGCCUUGUACACACCGCCCGUCACACCAUGGGAGUGGGUUGCAAAAGAAGUAGGUAGCUUAACCUUCGGGAGGGCGCUUACCACUUUGUGAUUCAUGACUGGGGUGAAGUCGUAACAAGGUAACCGUAGGGGAACCUGCGGUUGGAUCACCU